UGGUUAGGUACCGCCAACGAGCGCAACCCUUGCCAUUAGUUGCUACGAAAGGGCACUCUAAUGGGACUGCCGGUGACAAACCGGAGGAAGGUGGGGAUGACGUCAAGUCCUCAUGGCCCUUAUAGGUGGGGCUACACACGUCAUACAAUGGCCGGUACAGAGGGUAGCCAACCCGCGAGGGGGAGCUAAUCCCACAAAGCCGAUCGUAGUCCGGAUCGCAGUCUGCAACUCGACUGCGUGAAGUCGGAAUCGCUAGUAAUCGUGGAUCAGCAUGUCACGGUGAAUACGUUCCCGGGUCUU
rnacentral:rRNA from 1 species